CGGCCGUACCAUGCUAUACCGGUUCUCGUUAGAUCACCAAAGUCAAGCAUCAUUGGGCGUGGUCAGUACUUGGGUGGAUGACCAUCUGGGAACACUGCGUGCCGUU
rnacentral:rRNA from 1 species